ensembl:snRNA U6 U6 spliceosomal RNA
AUGCUCUCUUUUGGCAGCAUGUAUGCUAAAAUUGGAACCAUACAGAGAAGAUUAGCAUGGUCCCUGCACAAGAAUGAGACACAAAUCUGUGAAGCAUUCCAUAGUUUU